GACGAACCGUCCAAACGUUAUUCGGAAUUACUGGGCUUAAAGGGUGCGUAGGCGGCGCGGAAAGUUGGGUGUGAAAUCCCUCGGCUCAACCGAGGAACUGCGCCCAAAACUACCGUGCUCGAGGGAGAUAGAGGUGAGCGGAACUUAGGGUGGAGCGGUGAAAUGCGUUGAUAUCCUAAGGAACACCCGUGGCGAAAGCGGCUCACUGGGUCUCUUCUGACGCUGAGGCACGAAAGCUAGGUAGCGA
rnacentral:rRNA from 1 species